UACAGAGGUGUCAAACGUUGUCCGGAAUUACUGGGCGUAAAGGGCGCGUAGGCGGCCAUAUAAGUCAGAUGUGAAAGCUCUGGGCUCAACCCAGGAAUUGCAUCUGAUACUGUAAGGCUUGAGUUCGGUAGAGGAGGGCGGAAUUCCAGGUGUAGCGGUGAAAUGCGUAGAUAUCUGGAGGAACACCCGUGGCGAAGGCGGCUCUCUGGUCCGAAACUGACGCUGAGGUGCGAAAGCUAGGGUAGCAAACAGG
rnacentral:rRNA from 1 species